UACAGAGGGUGCAAGCGUUAUUCGGAAUUAUUGGGCGUAAAGCGCGUGUAGGCGGCCAGAAAAGUCCGCUGUGAAAACUCGAGGCUCAACUUCGAGCUGUCGGUGGAAACUUUCUGGCUAGAGUCCGGAAGAGGAGAAUGGAAUUCCUGGUGUAGCGGUGAAAUGCGCAGAUAUCAGGAAGAACACCCGUGGCGAAGGCGGUUCUCUGGGACAGUGCUGACGCUGAGACGCGAAAGCGUGGGGAGCGAACAGG
rnacentral:rRNA from 1 species